GAGAUUUUUUAGCACCGCCUGUUAGGAUCCGCCAGCACUUACCUUUUAUUUUCAGGGUUUCCCAGCGUUUUGUUUUUAUUCCGGUUUGUAUUUUGUUUUUCUCCGUUUUCUUUAGUUUCCCCGAUCGCUUUUGUUCUUGGUGGUGGUUUGCGUUUGUUUUCCCGUUUUGCUCCCUUCUCCCCCUAGCGGCCUGGAGCGGUACUGUUUUCGGAGGUUGCUGCGGUUCCAGCCAAUAGAUCGCUGGAGGGCGGACCCCACACACACCUGCGCCUCAUUCCUCAUCUCAUCAACUCCUGCAUUUAAACGCCGGCUUUUCUCUCACUCGUCGCCAGAUUGUCUGCUUGCCAUACGACCUUCCCCCCGUUCCUGCGUUCCUGCCGUUCCUGGUUUCCUGUGUUCCUGCCGUUCCUGGUUCUCCUAUGUUCCUGCCGUUCCUGGUUCUCCUGUGUUCCUGCCGUUCCUGGUUUUCCUGCCGUUCCGCCGUUCCUGGUCAUCCUGCAUUCCUGCCGUUCUUGGUUCUCCUGCGUUCCUGCCAUUCCUGGUUCUCCUGCCAUUCCUGGUCAUCCUGCAUUCCGGUUCAUCACUCCUGGUCAUCAGUCCGCCCUGCAGUUCCCCGGCGCUUCCAGUACCGCUCCUGCCGCUCCCCUCUCGUUUUCUGUUAUCUUUUUGGUUGUUUGUUUUUUGUCGUUUAUUUAUUAUUUGUUUAAAUAAAAUAUCGUAUUAUCACUUCUGGGUUUUGUUGUUUGUGCACUCGCCUUUGGGUUCCCCCCUAGUCUUUGGUGGGUUAUUAACUAACCCUAACACCGCCAGAAAUUUGUUAAUGAUCCAGGCAGAAGUGCUGAUAUCCUUUCCACCUUUCCAAGAUUUCUGGAUACAAAAGGAUUGGUGGAAUGCGUUCUU